rnacentral:rRNA from 1 species
AUUGAACGCUGGCGGCAUGCUUUACACAUGCAAGUCGAACGGUAACAGGCCUUCGGGUGCUGACGAGUGGCGAACGGGUGAGUAAUGCAUCGGAACGUACCCAGAGGUGGGGGAUAACGCAGCGAAAGCUGUGCUAAUACCGCAUGUGAUCUGAGGAUGAAAGCGGGGGACCGAGCAGCAAUGUUUGGCCUCGCGCCUUUGGAGCGGCCGAUGUCGGAUUAGCUAGUUGGUGGGGUAAAGGCCUACCAAGGCGACGAUCCGUAGCUGGUCUGAGAGGACGACCAGCCACACUGGAACUGGGACACGGCCCAGACUCCUACGGGAGGCGGCAGUGGGGAAUUUUGGACAAUGGGCGCAAGCCUGAUCCAGCAAUGCCGCGGGCGGGAAGAAGGCCUUCGGGUUGUAAACCGCUUUUGGCAGGAACGAAACGGUGUCCGCUAAUACCGGGCGCUAAUGACGGUACCUGCAGAAUAAGCACCGGCUAACUACGUG